CCCAUCAAUAACGAAAAUGAAAUCGACCGCCCUGCCUAUCUCCGCCACCUAUCCUCGCCCCGUCGCCGCAACUGGUUAGGUUGAGAUCUUGACACAGAACUUGAUGAUUCCAGUCGCCGCAACAGGACGUCCGCCCUCAUAGCGAACUUGACGAGUCCAAUCGAAUUAAGGAGCGCCAUGACUGGUUUCUCAUGCCUGCCGCUGCUUGUGUGCGCUUCCAGCCGGUGAGAAAAUUCACCACUUCCAUAUCCAGCCAGCGAAGGAAUCGAUCACGGCAGUUACAGGUUCAGACCAAGUACCUCACCCAGCCGGCACACAUGCCUCACUCUCACACAUAAUUAAGUCACACACACACCCGUGCUGCGAAACCGAACACCACAUAUGGCGGAGGUGGCGCCAGCGUACAACUAAGGCACGGCGUCAGCUUGAUCAAACUCGGCACAGAUGCAUACACACCGCGCGCUCCACUGAUGUGAGGAUCCAUUCCCCUCAAUCCCCUCUUAAUAAUCUCCAACAUCUCCCCGUUCCGAUGUUCGCAUACUUGAUCGGAAGUGAGUGCAUCAUGGAUCAAAGCUCAGCCUGGGUCUUCAUCAACGCAAGACGGAGCGGGAGGGACCUGGAAGUUUUUCAGCCGCAUGAAUGUGGAAGGCGCUUGACAAAUCAGAGAUGUAUGAAGCUUCUGCCGAGGUAAUUUCUCUCGGGGUAAUUGAUGGGAGAGGCUCGCAUGUUUUGUUCUUGAUCUUGAAACAAAGCAAGUGGUCAGUGUGUUUUUGUACGAUGCACAAAUGCCCUUACACUGCGUUUGGAUGUCUCCAUUGGAGCCCAGAAAAUGGAUUUCGUAAUCAUCUGGGUCAAUACAGACGUUUGGCUGGACACUGACGUUUGGCUGGACACUGAAUUCGUAUUGGAAAUGAAAGAGCAACUCAGGCC